UCCCUCCUCCUCUAUAGCCAGUGUCCUUCUUUCUCUCACUUCCUUCCUUCUUCCUUUCUACUCCUCCUCUUUCUUUUCAUCUAUUUCUCCUUCUCCUCUUCCUUCUUUUUCUCCCUCCUUUCUCCUUCUCUCAUUUCUCUGCCCAUUCUCUUCCUCUUCUUCCUCCUCUUUCUCCCACCAUUAUGGGCUCUUCCUCCGUUGUGCAUCAACCUUUCCUCACCUUAGCCUCUUGGCUGUUGUUUAUCCUUUUGUUCAUAGUGUUUGUUAGUUUCUUCCCUUAUAGAAUAGAAUUCUUCUGAUCCA
rnacentral:lncRNA from 1 species